rnacentral:lncRNA from 1 species
CUCUUUUAUCAGCUUCAGAAGCUUCAGUGUUGCAGCUUUAUUCUCUUUAUAAUAAAAGAGGCUUACAGGUGUGGCGGUGGUCUGAUCCGGGUCUUGAUCCAGGGCCUUGAUCCUCCAGGCAGAGAGACUUCUUCUCUUUCCAUCUUUUCCCUCCACAUAUGCAAAGUAAUCACCCUGGUCCUCCGGCUUCACCCGCUGCAGGGUCGGAGUCAGGUCUCCGCGUCUCCUCCAAUCAGAGGGCAAAGAGAGUCUCUCCUCAGAGCCGGUCCCAUCUGUGAUGGUCCCGGAGGACAGGUCCAGCUCACACACUGUCUCCCUGUUUCUGUCCAGCCUGAACUUCCCCUGCGCUCCUGAGGUGACGUAGAAGAAGGAGAAGCUGACAGCUCCACCUGCACUCACUGACACUUCACCACCACCAGCUGUGACUGACUGACUGUUCAUGUUUGUGGCUGCUGGUCUAGCAGGCUUCGGUUUAUGUUGGUGGAUAAAAUCCUGCAGACCAAGUGGACCACAUGGUUCCUCUGGACCCGGUACAUUCCAUUUAAGAGACAGAACACACAAAAACAUACAGUAUUUUGAUAAAAUAGAGAUUUAUUUACAGGAGUGCAUUCAAGAGCAGACAACGAGAAAUCACAUGAGACAAAACAUUCAUCUCUUCAAGCGGUCAUCAACAUCUGGAAUUGUAGGAAAUGUGAUGUAAUCUAGCCAUGAAGCCUUGAAGGGCCCACAUCCUCUUCAGUACCAGCAGAGUUCUCCUCCUUUACAAGACUCACCUCCACGUCUGUGGAGGGUCCUUCAGCACCGGGUCCAGAGGAACCAUGUGGUCCACUCGGUCUGCAGGAUUUUAUCCACCAACAUAAACCGAAGCCUGCUAGACCAGCAGCCACAAACAUGGACACCGCUACAGCGCUGACGGUCCCACUGCAGGUUCCCUUCUGUUCUCCAGCUGGUCGCUGCGUUUGCUGCACAGGAGAACAAACAGAGGAAUCAGAUCCAGACAGACAUGAUGUUUUUCCUUUUCAUCCCUCUGACAUCACAUCAUAACAUCAUGCAUCACAUGUGAGUUUUUCGCUACAAAAAGACAAUUUCUCUUCAUUUUGUCCCAAAGUCAGAAGAUAAAGACAGAUUGAGAACAAACACAUGUUCCAUGUGAGGAACAGAAGCUGCCAUGAAAACACUUUAUAUCAAGUAGAUAUGAAACAACAAGUUGAGUGUUUAUCAUGGAAACAGUGUCGCCAUGGAAACAAACAUAUAUAAUAUAUAUUAUUUAGCUGUCAGUGUUUGACAUGGAGCAUGUUUUGUACUACGUGUGCUCUUUUAUCAGCUUCAGUGUUGCAGCUUUAUUCUCUUUAUAAUAAAGGAGGCAUACAGGUGUGGUGGUGGUCUGAUCCAGGACCUUGAUCCUCCAGGCAGAGAGACUUCUUCUCUUACCAUCUUUUCCCUCCACAUAUGCAAAGUAAUCACCCUGGUCCUCCGGCUUCACCCGCUGCAGGGUCGGAGUCAGGUCUCCGUGUCUCCUCCAAUCAGAGGGCAGAGAGAGUCUCUCCUCAGAGCCGGUCCCAUAUGUGAUGGUCCCGGAGGACAGGUCCAGCUCACACACUGUCUCCCUGUUUCUUUCCAGCCUGAACUUCCCCUGCGCUCCUGAGGUGACGUAGAAGAAGGAGAAGCUGACAGCUCCACCUGCACUCACUGACACUUCAGAGGCUCUGACAACGUCCAGCUGGGUCGGUGUCUCCUCACAGCUCAACUCGAACAGCCCGUUGUCGUUGAUGUUUAUGUUCUUCAAGACCACCGACGCGUUCAGGUCGAUCCUGUCCUCGUAGUGCUUACCCGGGAUCCAAACACCGUCCCAUCGAGCCACCAGAACAGUACGUGAAGAGUCCAGUGGGUGCCACAGCUCGGCUCCCUUUUUCUGGCAGCUUGCAGUUUUUGUGAACUCAAAAGUGUCUCCUAGAAUGACAAAGACACCUGAAAUACUUGAGAUCAGGCUGAACAGAGAGAAGAGAAGGAGAGGAGCCAUUUCUGUCCUCUGUGAAGAAGAAGCAGCAGCUCUGAUCACUGACUGACAGCUCUGUCUGUGUGAGCUUUUAUACAUGAGACUGUGGGGUUCCCGUGCUGUGAUUGGUCGCUUCUACACCCACACAGUAUCUGUACAGUGUACACACUAGACGCGCAGCUCACACACACACACACACACACACACAUUUCCUCUCUCUCUCUCAUCACCCACUCUGGUGGUUGCAGAGAAAGCUGGGACUUCCCUUCCUGUACAAAAGUGUCAUGUGCUGUGUGUGGUUGCAGAGGAAGCUUCAUCACAGGGUGAGACAACAAUCACCUGAAGAUCAACAUCAGGAAAAUCAGUGAGCUUCUGUCAGACGACUGCUGUCAGUGUUUAAGAGUCUGAGUUUAUAGAGAGGAAGAAUCAAUGUGUGAUAUGUGAUUCAUGGCACGAUUCCACUGGGAGCAAUACACUAUUUCUCUCUCCGUUCACUAAUGUACAACACACACACAAACACACCAAAUAGCAGUGUGUCAGCAGCUAGACUCAGAGCUGCACUCAGUGUUUUGAAGGAGACACUUCAGAACAACUCGAUCUCUGUUUGUAGAGAGAAAACUCAGAUGUUUUCUGUCCUCCAGCCAUGUUGGUGGGGACCAGAACAGGUGUUUGAAGCCCAAACCUGAUGAAUGUCUGCCUAAACCAAACCAGAGCACGAGUACAGAGAUGUGACAUGAACACACCUGAAGUCUUGAUCUACCUGUGGUUCUGCAGAGACACACUCAGGGUUUGGACACAAGGAGCGUUUCCAGUGAACACACUCUUACUGGGAGCAAACAGGAAAAGAAGAAUUCAGCAGUGCUGCUUCACCGUGACACAACAGAAAAUCAAUGCAGAUCUCUGCAGGAGAGACGGAGACAGUUACCACAGAAGGAGAGUGUGAAAAACAGAGACAUCAGACAGAACUGAAGAACUAUCUGUGGUAGUGAAUGUGUGGUGGAACAUCCUCUUUUAGUUGAAGACUUCUUGUGACCUGAUUAUUUUAUGUUGAUGUAAACAAUAAUACUGCACUUGACCCAACCUUAAUUCUUUGCCUUGAUCCAAAUGAUUUUCUUAACAUUUUAGUUAUUGAACUAAACAAAUAAAUUGAAAUUGAGCCAAACUAAUGUAUUCACUUUCAACUAAACUAACAUGAAUCAAUGUUUGCAUUGACACUACUUAAUUAAUUUACAUACAGCCAAACUAUUUAUCACAAUAUAUUUGACUUCAUCUCAAAAUUAACUUCAAUCUUUCACCACAUAAACGCUACACAUAAAGACUGCACAACCACAGAAAUUUGGCGUCUGCAGGGCAGACGUUUGGUAAGCUCGAGACCAGUGGUGUCAAACUGAUUCAGUAAAAGGCCCCAGGGUUGCAGGUUGCCAUUCCAACCAAGCAAGAAUACACCUUAUGCAAAUCAGGUGUGUUCUUGCUUGAAAUAUUAUCACCUGAUUUAAAUCAGAUGUGUUCUGGCUUGCUUGAAAUGAAACAUGUUAUGUGAAGGCCUUACACAGAAUCAGAUUAGCUCCACUAGUAACAAUGGUUAUUCAUCACUCCCUGUUUGCUCAUAACUGUUGUAACAGACGGGAAGUCUCUCCCAGAAAACACCGCUUCACUCACUGUACCAACAUUUUAUCAUCUUUGUUAACUCGACACAAUUUAACCACAAAACAAGGAUGUGAAUUAACCCGCAACCGUCCUACACAUCAUCCUAUUCACAACCACAUUCACAAACCAUAAUUACACCAACAACAACAGAAUACCCAAGAGUCUUUGCGCCACAGUCCACAAGUGGCGUUACAAGUCACUUGGCCAACAGAUCACUUUAAACGUAUUUAUUCAUCUUUAACAUAUGAACCAUAUGCAACAUAUUUAACACUAAAACAAAUUAAGGCCGACUGCCUAAUCUAAAAGAGGGCAGAUAUUGUCUGUUCAAUAUGUGAGUAACCCUGGACUAGAACACUAAAACCUUCAGUCUGAACAGGACGGCACACAAACCAGUUUAUUAUACAUGUUAUCAGACCCACUUGUGCCUACAUGUGCACAACAUCAAGUUGGACACAGUUCUGAUGUCAAAGGACCAAUUACCCUCCUCUCCUUUGUGUAUAUAUCCCCUGUCUCUUCGCCAGUCCGUCUUUGUCUCCCUGCAGGAAACAUUCAAGCAAUAUUCCUGUUUUUGCCUCGUUGCAUGUAAGCAAACGUGGAUACAUCACAGUAAUAUUGCGUAGUGGCGAUCCUUCUUCUUCCUGCCAACCUUCCAGACCACCAUCAACCUCAGCACCGGGAAAGUUGGAGGUUUUAAAGUGUCCUCUGAGCGCCGGCGUCUGUACGGAGAGAGAGAGUCCUUGGCUGAAACAGGAAGAGAUUCUUGACCAGAAUGAAAAUGUUGGAUGACAGUUUCAAGACAAUGCUAUCCAAGAAGUUUAAUUCCCGUUUGUGAGGAAGGAAGUCAGAGUAAAACAUUUCCUCGUCCGUGAACAUCUGUACCUCAGCAGCCGUGUUUGUUUGAUGUAAAACCAACUUCUAUGCCAGAUUGAUUUAUUGCACAUUGAGCGAGAGAAU